rfam:Echinostoma caproni strain Egypt genome assembly, scaffold: ECPE_scaffold0001844
GCACUGUUGACGAGUCCCUAACGGGACGAAACAGCUGUCCAGUGU